rnacentral:rRNA from 1 species
UACGGAGGAGGCAAGCUUUAUCCGGAAUUAUUGGGCGUAAAGCGUCCGCCGGUGGCACUUCAAGUCUGUCGUCAAAGACUGGGGCUUAACCCUGGAAAGGCGGUGGAAACUGAAGCGCUAGAGUGCGGUAGGGGUAGAGGGAAUUCCCGGUGUAGCGGUGAAAUGCGUAGAGAUCGGGAAGAACAUCGGUGGCGAAAGCGCUCUACUGGACCGCAACUGACACUCAGGGACGAAAGCUAGGGGAGCGAAUGGG